UUCGGACGCUGACGAGUGGCGAACGGGUGAGUAAUACAUCGGAACGUGCCCAGUCGUGGGGGAUAACUACUCGAAAGAGUAGCUAAUACCGCAUACGAUCUGAGGAUGAAAGCGGGGGACCUUCGGGCCUCGCGCGAUUGGAGCGGCCGAUGGCAGAUUAGGUAGUUGGUGGGAUAAAAGCUUACCAAGCCGACGAUCUGUAGCUGGUCUGAGAGGACGACCAGCCACACUGGGACUGAGACACGGCCCAGACUCCUACGGGAGGCAGCAGUGGGGAAUUUUGGACAAUGGGCGAAAGCCUGAUCCAGCAAUGCCGCGUGCAGGAUGAAGGCCUUCGGGUUGUAAACUGCUUUUGUACGGAACGAAAAAGCUCCUUCUAAUACAGGGGGCCCAUGACGGUACCGUAAGAAUAAGCACCGGCUAACUACGUGCCAGCAGCCGCGGUAAUACGUAGGGUGCGAGCGUUAAUCGGAAUUACUGGGCGUAAAGCGUGCGCAGGCGGUUAUGUAAGACAGAUGUGAAAUCCCCGGGCUCAACCUGGGAACUGCAUUUGUGACUGCAUGGCUAGAGUACGGUAGAGGGGGAUGGAAUUCCGCGUGUAGCAGUGAAAUGCGUAGAUAUGCGGAGGAACACCGAUGGCGAAGGCAAUCCCCUGGACCUGUACUGACGCUCAUGCACGAA
rnacentral:rRNA from 1 species